rnacentral:tRNA from 2 species
GCGAGAGUGGCGGAACGGCAGACGCGCCAGGUUCAGGACCUGGUGCCCGCAAGGGUGUGGGGGUUCAAAUCCCCCCUCUCGCACCA